UAGCAAAAUCAUUUGCUUUUUAAUUGAAAGCGGGAAUGAACGGUUUUACAAAUAUAGACUUUAAUUUUUUUAAUAAAAUAACUUAUAGUUUAAGUAAAAAUACUUAAAAUUAUUUAAAGGGACGAUAAGACCCUAAAAGCUUUAUUUUCUAUUCUAAAAAUAAAUAAUAUACAAAUGAAAUAAAAUUUAACUGGGGAAGUUAUUAUUUAUACAUAAUAAUAUUUAUUUAAUAGAUAAUACAUUUUAUACUGGUUUAAUGUUCUUUUAAAUAAAAAUAUUUAUAUUAGUUACUUUAGGGAUAACAGCAUAAUAGUUUUAGUAAGUUCUUAUUUAUAAAACUGAUUAUGACCUCGAUGUUGAAUUAAAAUUUCUCUAUAAGGAAAAAGGUAUAUGAGAUGGUUUGUUCAACCAUUAAAUUUUUACAUGAUUU
rnacentral:rRNA from 1 species